rnacentral:sRNA from 1 species
AUUUUUACGUCACGGAGGCAGAAGAUCGAACUGCAGGAUGGAUUUAGCAGAGGUAAUGAUUGUCAAGCAUUCGAUUUUAUUUACUUGCAUUUGAAAAUUAUAUCGUACAAUUACCGAUGUCAAAAGAGUAAACAUGUAGCACGGAGCUGUAACUGUGUUCUCCGGGAAAAUUCGGGUUGAAUUAAUGACGAUAAAAAUGAUGUUUCCCCAGAGAGCUACAACUAAGCAGCUGUUUGGUUUAGUUAAUAUAGAAGAACUAAUACUUAUUAAAACCCAUAAAAUAUAUGUCGAUCUUGGAUAAGACGCAUUUGAAAACUGAAAUAUUUGAAAGUAGAGAAAAACUAGAGCAAAGCCUAUGCAAAGUAACGAGUAGGUCUUCCAUAGCAACUAAGUGAAAUGAUUAUUGAAUUGCCUCUAUUAAGUUGUAUUCUUAUUGCAUGGUAAUUGAAAUUUUUUUUAUAGGCAUGCAUUGGCUGCUUGACAUAUCCCUGGAAGAGGACACCUACUAGCUAACACAGUCAAUGACAGAUGUCUCUUUGAAUUGAUAAAAUCAUAAUCAAAUGGAUAUAAUACAGAAGUUUCAAAGAUCUGUUUUGAUGUAGCCUGAAGAUUUUGUAAUGAAUGAUCCAGGAUCCAAAAGUUCUUCGCGGAGUUCAAAGACAGUUGCAAUGUGGUUGCUAAUUUAGUGACAGAUUAAGAAAGAAGUUCAAACAAGCAUUGUCAUGGGAAAACAUGAAAAAGGAAGAAGUUGGAGGUGGACAAAAAUCAGGAUGAAUAUACUAGAGGUAAAAAUUAUUUUGUCAAAUUAAUACUUGUGAUUGACCUUCUAUUUUGCCCCCCCCCCCCCCUCUCUCUCUCUGAGAGCUUGCAAAUAAAAGAAAAAAUUAUUAACAAUUGUAAACUUUCUUCAUGUUGUAUUUGCAAUAAAAUCUAAAUGGAUCCUGUUAUUCUUUAACAAUAUUGUUGAAUAAAAAAGCAACCGAGGCAUUUGCAAAUUUUACUUUAUCAUGAAAUGAAAUUUAAUGUAAAAUUCUUUGUUUUUUUCCAGAAACUAUUAAAGCACAGAAGAAUGACAACAAUAUAAAUCUAAAUGUAAUCAUUCAAGGAAUUAAAUUCAUUUUUAAUCUC